rnacentral:rRNA from 1 species
GAUGAACGCUGACAGAAUGCUUAACACAUGCAAGUCUACUUGAGGUAACUUCGGUUACCAAGGGUGGCGGACGGGUGAGUAACGCGUAAAGAACUUGCCCCUCAGACUGGGACAACCGUUGGAAACGACGGCUAAUACCGGAUAUUAUGAGACCUUGGCAUCAAGGUUUUAUGAAAGCUAUAUGCGCUGGGGGAGAGCUUUGCGUCCUAUUAGCUAGUUGGUGAGGUAAUGGCUCACCAAGGCGACGAUAGGUAGCCGGCCUGAGAGGGUGAACGGCCACAAGGGGACUGAGACACGGCCCUUACUCCUACGGGAGGCAGCAGUGGGGAAUAUUGGACAAUGGACCAAAAGUCUGAUCCAGCAAUUCUGUGUGUUUGAUGAAGGCCUUCGGGUUGUAAAGAACUUUCAAUGGGGAAGAAGCAAGUGACGGUACCCAUAGAAGAAGCGACGGCUAAAUACGUGCCAGCAGCCGCGGUAAUACGUAUGUCGCAAGCGUUAUCCGGAAUUAUUGGGCAUAAAGGGCAUCUAGGCGGUUUGGUAAGUUCGAUGUGAAAAUGCGGGGCUCAACUCCGUAUUGCGUUGAAAACUGCCAGACUAGAGUUUUGGGAGAGGUAAGGCGGAACUACAAGUGUAGAGGUGAAAUUCGUAGAGAUUUGUAGGAAUGCCCGAUGACGAAAGGUAGCUUACUGGACAAAUACUGACGCUGAAGUGCCGAAAGCUAGGGGAGCCAAAACAGG